AAGAUCGUAGUAUAAUUAAGUAUGUACCAUUGUCUAUGUUAAGGUUUAAGAUUUUUGAAGUCUUA
rnacentral:tRNA from 1 species